GAUGAACGCUGGCGGCGUGCCUAAUACAUGCAAGUCGAGCGAAUGGAUUAAGAGCUUGCUCUUAUGAAGUUAGCGGCGGACGGGUGAGUAACACGUGGGUAACCUGCCCAUAAGACUGGGAUAACUCCGGGAAACCGGGGCUAAUACCGGAUAACAUUUUGAACCGCAUGGUUCGAAAUUGAAAGGCGGCUUCGGCUGUCACUUACGGAUGGACCCGCGUCGCAUUAGCGAGUUGGUGAGGUAACGGCUAACCAAGGCAACGAUGCGUAGCCGACCUGAGAGGGUGAUCGGCCACACUGGGACUGAGGCACGGCCCAGACUCCUACGGGAGGCAGCAGUAGGGAAUCUUCCGCAAUGGACGAAAGUCUGACGGAGCAACGCCGCGUGAGUGAUGAAGGCUUUCGGGUCGUAAAACUCUGUUGUUAGGGAAGAACAAGUGCUAGUUGAAUAAGCUGACACCUUGACGGUACCUAACCAGAAAGCCACGGCUAACUACGUGCCAGCCGCCGCAGUAA
rnacentral:rRNA from 1 species